UACAGAGGUGGCAAGAGUUGUCCGGAUUUACUGGGUGUAAAGGGCGUGUAGGCGGUCUCUCAAGUCCGAUGCUAAAGACCGAAGCUCAACUUCGGGGGUGCGUUGGAUACUGUGAGGCUAGACGGUCGGAGAGGGUAGCGGAAUUUCCGGAGUAGCGGUGAAAUGCGCAGAUACCGGAAGGAACGCCAAUAGCGAAGGCAGCUACCUGGACGAUUGGUGACGCUGAGGAGCGAAAGCGUGGGGAGCAAACCGG
rnacentral:rRNA from 1 species